rnacentral:rRNA from 1 species
UGAGGAACAUGACCUUCGGCGGGGGAUAGCCGGCCCAACGGCCGGGUAAUACCGCGUACGACCACUCGGGGACAUCCCUAGGUGGUGAAAGCAGCAAUGCGCCGAUGGAGUGCCUCGCGGCCUAUCAGCUAGUUGGUGAGGUAACGGCUCACCAAGGCAACGACGGGUAGCUGGU